UAAAUAUAACCAUGAGACCGAUAGUAAACAAGUACCGUGAGGGAAAGUUGAAAAGAACUCUGAAUAGAGAGUUAAAUAGUACGUGAAACUGCUUAGAGGUUAAGCCCGAUGAACCUGAAUAUCCAAUAUAGAAAAUUCAUCAUUAUGACUCUAAUAUUUUUAAAUAUUAUAAUAAUAGUGUGCAUUUUUUCUAUAGAGGACAUUGUAAUCUAUUGAUAUAAAAGAAAUUUAUUAUAAGAUCGAUUGCGCAAGUUUAUUCAAAUUAUUUUGUUUACAAUUUAACAUAGAAUAAAUGCUCUCGAUUUGAUAAAGUGUUGAUAGAUU
rnacentral:rRNA from 1 species